UUCUGCACUAUUUUCUGCUGCCAGUGAAGAAGGAUGUGUUUGUGUCUUCUGCUCUGAUUGUAUGCUCCCUGAGUCCCUCCAGCUAUGCUGAACUUCUGGAUAUCUCCCAUUUCUUUAUCUGCCCUAAUUAAAUUGGUCAAAGUAUCCAGCACAGCAGUAGAUGGAAACAUGGAAGUGAAUAUUCUUGUCUUGUCCCUGAUCUUAAGAGGAAAGUGUUCCGUCUUUCGCCAUUAGGACCCCUUGGCAUGAUUACCUCUGGAGAACCACAGCAUGAACAAGAUUAUGGAGAAAGGAAUCAGCGGUGUGAUGUGGGGAGCAAUGAGAAACCCUGUGCUGUGAAGGCUCGCAUGCCAAAUAGAGAAAGUUCCCUUGGAAGAAUGACUGCAGUGCUACAACAAUGUAACUGCAUGACAAAUCAUAAAGUUCCUGGUGUGGCUUCGCAUAAUUAAUAGCAUACAGAGAGGCCAUACUUCCCACCAUCGGCAUCCUCCAACCUUGGCAACCAAUGGCUGACACAGAGGUCUCAAAGCCUGACUCCCUUGGCUCAAAGAGACACGAUUCUGGUAUGACCUUAAUGCUCCCGAACUCCCAGUAGGGUUAGGCUGAGGCUAGAUGUCAAUAAAAAUUACACCUUUGCUUGGGUUCUUCCUCUACCUGUCCUUUGCUUGCCAUUCUGCAGGCUUCUCCUGAGAACACUCCCUGAAUGAAUCCUUUGCCCAG
rnacentral:lncRNA from 1 species